CAGAUAGUUAAUUGUGUUGAUCUGCCCUAAGCCCACAACCAAACAAGGAACAGGAAAUGAAGUGGAAAACACACAUACAACAACCUAUCGGGUAUUAAUUGUAUAUAACCCUGAUGUAUAAACUAAGGUAUUAUAGAAUUAACCACCUAAGGUACUUUAAAAUGACAUCAUGAUGUACUGAUUUCCUUAAAACAUGUUUGUUUUAUUAAGGUCAUAAUGUGAAGGCUAGUACCCACACUAUACGCUCUCCCUGUCAAAAGAUUCUAGGAACCAAACGUGACUUUAGCAAAUAAUUGCAAGGCCGUGUAAACUCACAAUAAGGUCAUGCGAUCGUGUAUACCCAAUUUAACUAUCACCUUUUGUUUAGAACAAUGAGUUAGUGAUUCAGUGGUAUAAUUAGAUCUUGUAGUUUUUCUCAUGUUAGAGCAUCUUAGUAUGUUCGUUCUGUUAUAGUAUCUUAGUAUCUUCUUUCUGUUAUAGUAUCUAGGUAUGAACUGAACCCCUAAACUAUACCUCUUAUAGCUUACUAGUAUGUUACUUGAACUGUUAUUGAAAAGACUCAUUUAUCUACUAAGUUAUGCUGGUAUAUUAAAAGUAGAGUUUUGUUAAACUAUAAAGUAACAUAAAUUUAAAAGAGUUUUUGAAAUGUUUUGAUCACUUAUAAAAGACAUAAGCAAUCUUUCGAAAGAAGUUGAUAACAAACAUUUACACAACUAUCAUUGUUUUCAACUUGUAUCCCCCCCCCCCUUAAAAGCAUUUAAAACAGUUAAAAGAUUCAUUAUAGGGGUAUGAGCUCACCUUAUGUGGGUGAGUCAAACGAAUAUGUGCGUAAGGAUGAGAAGUUCCACAAAUGAAGUCCCGAAACAAAAACGAGUCCUAACUGACAUAUAUGGAAAGUAUUUUCAUGAAUAUAGUGUUUAUAAGCAACCGACAUGCAAGGAUACAUCCUUAGGGACAUGUACUAAGUGUUGAAAUUACAUGUGAUUGAUCAAAGGGAUAUUUAAGGCCACCAAAUGGAGUUUACGACCAUGGGUUUACAGCCAUGAAUUUUACGUCCGUAAACUCAUGGUAAAAGGUGCAUAAGAGGGUGUUUGAAUGCUAGGGAAACUUGUGGGACCAUUGCUCUAUAAUACGAUGAGCAACACUAACUUAUUGUGAGGUGUUGAGGUGUUUAUGGCCACACCAAAAUUGUAUGGCUAUAAAAUCUCCAAAUGGUGUCGUUUUGGGUCCUAGAGGAAAGGGUUCUCAAUGGUUCAUGUGCUCCAAAGGAUAGAUAGUGUCUAGAAGUGUUUAGGGCUCAAUACUUGACCCAAAGGAUAGAUAGUGUCUAGAAGUGUUUAGGGCUCAAUACUUGACCCAAAGGAUAGAUAGUGUCUAGAAGUGUUUAGGGCUCAAUACUUGACCCAAACUAAGGUUUACGGCCAAGGGAGAUUGCUCAUGGUCGUAAACUCUCAUUGAUCUUGGAGAUUGGUUGAUUUCAAGGAUGUAAAUCAUGGACUUCUACUAGAUAAUAAGUGUAUGUAAGGAAUACUCACUUUUUGAGGGCCUUUAAGUAGUUUACAGCCACCAAAAGCUAGUGUGUGUUCUUGGUGUUCUUGGUGAAAGAUGAAGAUCUAGCCAAAAGAUGUUUUCAUGGAUGGAAUCAAAGGGUGAUUCAUGAGUAAGAAGGGUAAUAAAAAAUUAAAGGGAAGAAUCACUUACAUUUGGAUGAUCCGGAAUGAAAAUCUCGAUGAUACUUGAGUGAGAAGUCAAGUGUUUUUGAGUUGGAAAUGUAAGAAUGAAAGGAAGAUGAAGGCAAUGAGGCUUUAAGGGGAGUUUACAGCCAUCCUUGAGUUUACGGCCGUAAACUCAAGUGUCUUGGCUGUGAAAUCCUUUUUAGUGGUUUUAAGGCUCGGAUGUGGCACAAUGUCUCUAGCAGGUACUUCCUAUCACCCGUUAUCGCGUUAUAAUAUCAUAGAAUACUCCUAUAGUAUUCUAACUCUAUGUACUUGAUCUAGAAUUCUCUUGACUGGUGUUAGGUAAGUUUUAAGACCAUUGCCACACCACAUCACUCCCAAACACAUGUCUGUCACAUCUCGAAUGAAUAUAGUUGAUCAGACUAUAUUGAUCCUAGCUAUGAUUACAUAACUGUCAAGGUUUGACCACAAUGUUCAACCUUUAACUUCUUCUGUUUUGUUCUUCUAGGGAUACUUGUUCUAGUAUGAAUACAUGUAUAAGCAAGUAGGUAUAUUUUUAUAACUUAUUGUUAUGUUCUUAAAAUAUAUUAUUAUAUAGAGCACUAAAGUACCAUUUUAUUUAUAGUUGUAUAUCUUUUAUCGGUUGAUAUACUUAGUUCACUAUAAACAAUGCUCUGAUACCAAUCUAUCACACCCCAAAACCGGAACGACGGAAACGAUCUGGGGUGGAGGGCGUCAUGUUUAGUAUCACAAGACAUGCAUCAUAGUAAUAAAAGUAAUAAACAACCAUUUCAUUAAAAAGAAAGUGUUUACAAAGUAUGUGUUCACAAAACAUAGAAUACAUAUGCAAAUAGCAAAAUAAGACAUGAAGCUAUACUGCUCCAUCUUCUGAAUUCCCAACGCGAGUACCUGUCCACUAGAUCCCUGAGAAUACAAGUUAUUUUGAAAGAGUUGAUCAGCAUUUAAGCUGGUGAGUUCAUAAGAUUUUAGUGAUGUAAGUAAGUGUAAGAAAGNGAAAGAUGUAGUAAGUUGUAAGUUUUGUUUAGAAAAGUUCGCCUGUUCCUCCAAAAAAAUCCUAUAUUUCCUGCUUUGACGAAAGAUAAGUAAAAAUGACUCUACAAUCCUUUUAUGAGUACAAAGUAGAUACGAGUUGUAUAAACACCCAUAGUAAACAAACAAUCGGUUGUGUGUAUCUGCCCUAAGCCCACAACCAAUGAAGGACCGGGAAAUGAGACGGAAAGCACACAUCUCAUUUUUUGUUAGAUCAUUGUUGUAUAUAUAACCCUAGCAUAUUCACUUGGAACUCACGGAGUUAACUAUAAUAGUUCAUUUAUAUUUGAUGAAAAGAUUCUUUAAGAAAACCCUUAUUUCUUAUAAAAAAAAAUAGUAACCACAGUUGUUCUUUCUAUAAUCACUUAGUUUAUACUAGCUAUAUAUAAUCUAAUAUCGAACAGAUAGUUAAUUGUGUGGAUCUGCCCUAAGCCAACAACCAACCAAGGACCAGGAAAUGAAGCGAAAAGCACACAUGCAACUACCUAUUGGGUAUUAAUUAUAUAUAACCAUGAUGUAUAAACUAAGGUAUUAUUGAAUUAACCACCUAAGGUCCCUUAAGUUAUUAUGGUUUAAUAAAAUGGAUUAAACCCUUUACUGGUAAGUUUCUAGUGUUGUAUAUCAAAAGUUCUAUUUAAAAAGUAUGUUUUGUACUAGAAAACUCUUCAUUGAAUUAGUAUUCUAUGACCUGGCCCAUACCUGGUACCCCUUAUGAUUACUUAGUGUAUACA
rnacentral:lncRNA from 1 species